AGAAAGCAUCUUUCGGUUCCUCACUCCAUAUUUUAUAUCAUUUAUUUUCAAUCAGAGGUGAAAAUUUGUGGAUUAUGAAUGACUUCUGGUUGAGCUUUCAGCAAAUAUAUUUUGCUACAGUGGGCAGAAGCAAUCGAAAGUUUGGAUGAUGGAGUCCCAGGAUCGGAUAAGAGCUUUGGCAUGAAGCAAAGGCCAAAUGGUGAUAUUGAAAUCGAUGAAAAAUAUUGGGAGCAUGAUUUCUGUAUUCUAACCUGCCAAAAGUGCAACGGAGUGCUCAAACCUGAUGAAAGGGGAAGACCUUUAAUAACACAACAGUGAAGCGGUCGAUUAUGGUGCCCACGAUUAGUAACAAGCUAGCAGAUAUGAUGAUUAUUCAUGGAGGAAAUAUGGCCAAAAGCCAAUCAAGGCUUCUCCACACCCAAGAUAAUUGAAGUCAUAUCGGGUUGAAAGCUAAGCGAUUGUGCAGAGAUGGCCAAGCGGUCGUUGAAAAUUGAAGACUGAGAAGGCAUUUAGGAUUUUUAAUUAUUUAAUUCUUGUAUUAGAAUCUUUUUUCAUGUACUAUUGUAGACUGUAUAUAUAAACAUAAUAUUAAGAUUUUAUUUUGUGUAUUCAAAUGUAAAAGACAAAUAUUAUAGUUUCUAACAUAAUAUGAAUUUCAUUGAUUU